UAUGGCCAUAUCAUGUUCAAACAUCACUUCUCAUAUGAUCACUGAAAUUAAGCAAAGUUGAAUCUGAUCAGUACCUAGAUGUGUGACCACUUGGGAAUACCAGGUGCUGUAA